ACUCCUACGGGAGGCAGCAGUAGGGAAUAUUGGGCAAUGGAGGCAACUCUGACCCAGCCAUGCCGCGUGAAGGACGAAGGCCCUAUGGGUUGUAAACUUCUUUUAUUUGGGAAGAAAACACUCUACGUGUAGAGUACUGACAUUACCAAACGAAUAAGGAUCGGCUAACUCCGUGCCAGCAGCCGCGGUAAUACGGAGGAUCCAAGCGUUGUCCGGAUUUAUUGGGCGUAAAGGGUGCGUAGGUUGUUAUUUAAGUCAUGUGGGAAAUACCUGGGCUCAACCUGGGAAUGACGGAUGAUACUGAAUGACUAGAGUAUAGUAGAGGGUAGUGGAAUUUCCGGUGUAGCGGUGAAAUGCGUAGAGAUCGGAAGGAACACCAGUGGCGAAGGCGGCUACCUGGACUAAUACUGACACUGAGGCACGAAAGCGUGGGGAGCAAACAGGAUUAGAUACCCUGGUAGGUCAGU
rnacentral:rRNA from 1 species